rnacentral:misc_RNA from 1 species
GAACUGCGAUAAGUAAUGUGAACUGCAGAAUUCAGUGAAUCAUCGAGUCUUUGAACGCACAUUGCGCCCCCUGGCAUUCCGGGGGGCAUGCCUGUCCGAGCGUCAUUGCUGCCCUUCAAGCCCGGCUUGUGUGUUGGGUCGUCGUCCCCCCCGGGGGACGGACCCGAAAGGCAGCGGCGGCACCGUGUCCGGUCCUCGAGCGUAUGGGGCUUUGUCACCCGCUCGAUUAGGACCGGCCGGGCGCCCGCCGGCGUCAAACCCCAAUCUUUCUAAGGUUGACCUCGGAUCAGGUAGGGAUACCCGCUGAACUUAAGC